GAUGAACGCUGGCGGCGUGCUUAACACAUGCAAGUCGAACGGUGAAGCAGGAGCUUGCUCUUGUGGAUCAGUGGCGAACGGGUGAGUAACACGUGAGCAACCUGCCCCUGACUCUGGGAUAAGCGCUGGAAACGGCGUCUAAUACCGGAUAUGUGAUGUGACCGCAUGGUCUGCAUCUGGAAAGAAUUUCGGUUGGGGAUGGGCUCGCGGCCUAUCAGCUUGUUGGUGAGGUAAUGGCUCACCAAGGCGUCGACGGGUAGCCGGCCUGAGAGAGUGACCGGCCACACUGGGACUGAGACACGGCCCAGACUCCUACGGGAGGCAGGAGUGGGGAAUAUUGCACAAUGGGCGGAAGCCUGAUGCGGCAACGCCGCGUGAGGGAUGACGGCCUUCGGGUUGUAAACCUCUUUUAGCAGGGAAGAAGCGAAAGUGACGGUACCUGCAGAAAAAGCACCGGCUAACUACGUGCCAGCAGCCGCGGUAA
rnacentral:rRNA from 1 species